rnacentral:rRNA from 1 species
GGGAAUUUUCGUCAAUGGGCGCAAGCCUGAACGAGCGAUGCCGCGUGGGUGAAGGAGCGUUUCGGCGCGUAAAGCCCUAUCGGCAGGGAAGAAGGAGGACGGUACCUGACUAAGAAGCCCCGGCUAACUACGUGCCAGCAGCCGCGGUAAUACGUAGGGGGCAAGCGUUAUCCGGAUUUACUGGGUGUAAAGGGGGCGCAGACGGCAGCGCAAGCCAGGAGUGAAAGCCCGGGGCCCAACCCCGGGACUGCUCUUGGAACUGCGCGGCUGGAGUGCAGGAGGGGCAGGCGGAAUUCCUGGUGUAGCGGUGAAAUGCGUAGAUAUCAGGAGGAACACCGGUGGCGAAGGCGGCCUGCUGGACUGCGACUGACGUUGAGGCCCGAAAGCGUGGGGAGCAAACA